rnacentral:rRNA from 1 species
UCGCUACUACCGAUUGAAUGGCUUAGUGAGCUCUCUGGACUAUUGUAUUCUGUUGGAAACUUCAGGACACAUAUAGGAAGGAGAUCAAACUUGAUCAUUUAGAGGAAGUAA